AGUCACUAAUAGGAAUCCAAGCAAUGCAGAUGUGUAGACUGGGAAUUGUUCUGUUUGUCAUAAUAUUUUCUGUGGAGGGUUCCGCCUUGCAAAAGGAUGCCGAGACAAGAAUUGCAGAGCUUGAAAACCUGGUGACAGAAUUGAUACAACAAAUUCAGCAGUGGUAUAACAGAGCAAUAAACAGCUAGAACGCAUCGAAGCACUGGAAAAGAUUGUUCUGGCUACAUAUGGAGCAACAACCUCACACAUCCGACCCAAGAUGUCUAGCGAAGAAAACGUGUUACAAAAGUAUCCUCCUGUUCAUACUUCCAUUAAAAUGAUGAAUCCGAAACAAUGGUAGAUCCUAUAAAGGAUGACAGAAGUCGGGUGGCAAGAAACACAUCAUAACGCCAAACAGCAAGUGGGAGUGUGGCAUUCACAGCUAUUAAAGUAGAUGCACAUAGAAGCAUAGGACUCAACCAGAACAUUAUGUUCGAGAAAGUCCUUAUCAACAUAGGCGGGGGCUACCACGUACAUCAUGGCGUGUUCCAGGUGCCGAUUUCAGGGCUAUACGUGAUUUCAGCUACUCUUCAGAACAUAUGAGGAGAUCCAUCCUUUCGCAUAGGCAUUAUGCAUAACGGAAACCUGCUCGCAGCGCUGUCCGGUUCUGAUGGGUAUGAACAAAGCAGUCAAACAAUCACCUCUGAACUAAAUGCGGGCGACGAGGUGUGGCUUAGCAGCUUCAAUGAACACGCGACCGUAUAUGGAUCCGAAUAUUCCUCAUUUUCUGCUUUUCAAUUGUAGUAAUGCAUGUAUUGAUAAAUCAACAUGUACAACGGCAAAUGCUUCACGACACUAAUUGAAUACUUUAACGAAAAUAUUAAUUGACGGAAGUUGAUAAGCUGAUUUAUCAUUGGAACAUUUAAAAUACACAACUAUAAUAUCAAUAACAUUUCUAAAACAUGGAUUUGCACGAUUUGAACAAUUGCACGUACGU